AGAAGAAAGAGGAGGGGAAGGAUGCACUGCAUACCACGAAGGACCUCCAAGCUCAGGGGGUGAUGUGGCAAAGGUUGCCUUGUGUUUGUGAUUUGGAAAUGGAGGAUCAUUUCAUAGAUGAUAAUGCUUGAGGUGGGAAGAGGUGAAAGAAGCUGAAGAGAUAUUGCUAUGUACUGCUGUGGCAAUAGAACUUGAACUACCAAUUGCUUACACAAAUUGUUUAUACAAAAAUGCUAGUUACGAACAGAGAAUAGAGAAACCAUUGGAGAAGGAAUUACAAGCAUUUUAGAUAGAAUUAAUCAGAUACACAGAGGCCUGGAAUGUGUAAAAUAUUUUCUUACAAAUAUAGAAAAUUGUAUUUAAAGCAAUUGAAAUGGAUUUUUUCUGAUUAUCACUCAUAAAUUCAUACUAUAGGAAUUUUAAAAGGCAUCAAAAGGAAAAUAAAAAUUUCAUGUUUUA